ACUCAAAGGAAUUGACGGGAUCCCGCACAAGCAGUGGAGUAUGUGGUUUAAUUCGACGCAACGCGAAGAACCUUACCAGGACUUGACAUCCAAAGAAUCCGGCGUAAUGGCCGGAGUGCCCUUCGGGGAGCUUUGAGACAGGUGGUGCAUGGUUGUCGUCAGCUCGUGUCGUGAGAUGUUGGGUUAAGUCCCGCAACGAGCGCAACCCUUACCUUUAGUUGCUACGCAAGAGCACUCUAGAGGGACUGCCGUUGACAAAACGGAGGAAGGUGGGGACGACGUCAAAUCAUCAUGCCCCUUACGUUCUGGGCUACACACGUACUACAAUGGCGUAAACAAAGGGAAGCGAAGCCGCGAGGCGGAGCAAACCCCAAAAAGACGUCCCAGUUCGGACUGUAGGCUGCAACCCGCCUGCACGAAGUUGGAAUUGCUAGUAAUCGUAGGUCAGCAUACUACGGUGAAUACGUUCCCGGGAUUUGCACACACCGCCCGU
rnacentral:rRNA from 1 species